rnacentral:rRNA from 1 species
CUCCUACUGGAGGCAGCAGUGAGGAAUAUUGGUCAAUGGGCGCGAGCCUGAACCAGCCAAGUAGCGUGAAGGAUGAAGGUCCUACGGAUUGUAAACUUCUUUUAUAAGGGAAUAAAGUCGCCUACGUGUAGGCGUUUGUAUGUACCUUAUGAAUAAGCAUCGGCUAACUCCGUGCCAGCAGCCGCGGUAAUACGGAGGAUGCGAGCGUUAUCCGGAUUUAUUGGGUUUAAAGGGAGCGUAGACGGAGGAUUAAGUCAGUUGUGAAAGUUUGCGGCUCAACCGUAAAAUUGCAGUUGAUACUGGUCCCCUUGAGUGCAGUUGAGGCAGGCGGAAUUCGUGGUGUAGCGGUGAAAUGCUUAGAUAUCACGAAGAACCCCGAUUGCGAAGGCAGCCUGCUAAGCUGUAACUGACGUUGAUGCUCGAAAGUGUGGGUAUCAAACAGGAUUAGAUACCCUGGUAGUCCACACGGUAAACGAUGGAUACUCGCUGUUGGCGAUAUACUGUCAGCGGCCAAGCGAAAGCAUUAAGUAUCCCACCUGGAGAGUACGCCGGCAACGGUGAAACUCAAAGGAAUUGACGGGGGCCCGCACAAGCGGAGGAACAUGUGGUUUAAUUCGAUGAUACGCGAGAAACCUUACCCGGGCUUGAAAGUUACUGACGAUUCUGGAAACAGGAUUUCCCUUUGGGGCAGGAAACUAGGUGCUGCAUGGUUGUCGUCAGCUCGUGCCGUGAGGUGUCGGGUUAAGUCCCAUAACGAGCGCAACCCCUACCGUUAGUUGCCAUCAGGUCAAGCUGGGCACUCUGGCGGGACUGCCGGUGUAAGCCGAGAGGAAGGUGGGGAUGACGUCAAAUCAGCACGGCCCUUACGUCCGGGGCUACACACGUGUUACAAUGGUAGGUACAGAGGGUCGCUACCCCGCGAGGGGAUGCCAAUCUCGAAAGCCUAUCUCAGUUCGGAUUGGAGGCUGAAACCCGCCUCCAUGAAGUUGGAUUCGCUAGUAAUCGCGCAUCAGCCAUGGCGCGGUGAAUACGUUCCCGGGCCUUGUACACACCGC